GACGAACCGUGCAAACGUUGUUCGGAAUCACUGGGCUUAAAGGGCGCGUAGGCGGGUCAGCAAGUCCGGGGUGAAAUCUUUCGGCUCAACCGGAAAAGUGCCUUGGAUACUGCUGGUCUCGAGGGAGGUAGGGGUCUGUGGAACUUCCGGUGGAGCGGUGAAAUGCGUUGAUAUCGGAAGGAACGCCGGUGGCGAAAGCGACGUGCUGGACCUCUUCUGACGCUGAGGCGCGAAAGCUAGGGGAGCAAACGGG
rnacentral:rRNA from 1 species